GCAAUUGGUUGCUCUACAAAUGAGGUUAGGAUCCGAAGCACUAGGCUAAUUUAGGCUCUCCUCCCCUAACUCCUACUCGUCGCGUCCUCGCGGGGCUCAUGGGUUCUGCUCGUGUAGAGCGGUAACAUGCCUCCCACACGUCUGAGCUUGGGUACACGGGUAACACCAACCCCUUGGGAAGAUGGGGGGUAUGGCUGAGACGAGAGGG
rnacentral:ribozyme from 1 species